rnacentral:other from 1 species
GGUAACCUGGAAUGUUCGAAGCCCUAUUAAUUUUGAACCUACAACUUAAAAAAGGGAGUCUUACAUCGUCCGACGGAUGUCAGGCCUCACGUCGUGGAAGGCAGAAGCCGGAUUGCGGACACCCACCUAGCCGAGUGCUAGGACUCAAAAAAUAGGAACGGCAUCCCGGGCCCACA